rnacentral:rRNA from 1 species
AUUGAACGCUGGCGGCAUGCCUUACACAUGCAAGUCGAACGGCAGCACGGGAGCAAUCCUGGUGGCGAGUGGCGAACGGGUGAGUAAUGUAUCGGAACGUGCCCAGUCGUGGGGGAUAACGCAGCGAAAGCUGUGCUAAUACCGCAUACGAUCUAUGGAUGAAAGCGGGGGAUCGCAAGACCUCGCGCGAUUGGAGCGGCCGAUAUCAGAUUAGGUAGUUGGUGGGGUAAAGGCCCACCAAGCCGACGAUCUGUAGCUGGUCUGAGAGGACGACCAGCCACACUGGGACUGAGACACGGCCCAGACUCCUACGGGAGGCAGCAGUGGGGAAUUUUGGACAAUGGGCGCAAGCCUGACCCAGCAAUGCCGCGUGCAGGAUGAAGGCCUUCGGGUUGUAAACUGCUUUUGUACGGAGCGAAACGGCUUCCACUAAUACUGGGGGCUAAUGACGGUACCGUAAGAAUAAGCACCGGCUAACUACGUGCCAGCAGCCGCCGUAA